rnacentral:lncRNA from 1 species
GAUUGGAAGUGGCAGAAAGUGCUCUGCGGCACACUAAGCCUCAGUUAGAAGUGCUUCGUCUGACUUUCGAGAAGCCUGCAGGAAAGCCUGGCGUGGAGGAAUGCAGGGGAGAUGGCUGGCAUCUGGACGUUCCUUCCACAUGAUGGCACACAUCUGGCUCUUUGGGGCCAGUGGAACAUUCCCCUUCCAGUUUCCCUCCAGAUGUUUGAGGAUAUGAAGAUACAGCCCAAGGGGUGAGCAAUUUAUCAAGCUUCACUGAUCAAUUACAAGCCGGCACGCAGCAGAGCCCUCGCUGGAUUUCUUAUGCUCAUUGUGUAUAAAUGCCCAGGCUGUUUCACGCAGACACACCCUGCACAACAGGCCUUCAGUCAAACAGACGGUGGACUUUUUCAUCCCCUCCUCCUUGUAUGCACACACCUCAGGGGCCCAGAACUAAGUGAGCGAUUGGUGCACAUGUGCAAGUGGACAUCCUGGAGCCCACAGAUUGGUGGGCGGUUAUUUGGCUUCUACAGAAUCCACAGCGCUGGACCAGCUUCCCUGGGGUUCCCAGAUGCUGAGGGAGCUCUGUGCUCUGUGAGCUCAUCUCCAUGGCAGCUCGGGUUCUGCAUUGGUCUUGACCCAUUUCUUCAGUGCCGUAGGCACACGGGAAGACUACCAUUCUGUGCAGCAGCAUUUAACUAUGGUGAGGCCUCCAGCACUUGCAUCCUCUGCUGAGCUGACCGCGGAGGGGCGGCCUCUCAGCCUGCUGUCCUGAGUCACGGCCUGGAGGGCGGAUGUUCUGGAGAGAUGCCUGGACCUGGAGUAGAAUUUGCUUGAAUGAAAAAUAAACCAUUGUCUUGUUAAGACA